rnacentral:rRNA from 1 species
AGGUAAGCUACUAAGAGCGAAUGGUGGAUGCCUUGACUGGUAAAGGCGAUGAAGGACGUACUAGACUGCGAUAAGCUACGGGGAGCUGUCAAGAAGCUUUGAUCCGUAGAUUUCCGAAUGGGGCAACCCAAUGUAUAGAGAUAUACAUUACCUAUAUAGGAGCGAACGAGGGGAAUUGAAACAUCUUAGUACCCUCAGGAAAAGAAAUCAAUAGAGAUUGCGUCAGUAGCGGCGAGCGAAAGCGCAAGAGGGCAAACCCAGUGCUUGCACUGGGGGUUGUAGGACUGCAAUGUGCAAGAGGUAAGUUUAGCAGAACAUUCUGGAAAGUAUAACCAUAGAGGGUGAUAGUCCCGUAUGCGAAAAACAAACCUUAGCUAGCAGUAUCCUGAGUAGGGCGGGACACGAGGAAUCCUGUCUGAAUCCGGGUCGACCACGAUCCAACCCUAAAUACUAAUACCAGAUCGAUAGUGCACAAGUACCGUGAGGGAAAGGUGAAAAGAACUGAGGUGAUCAGAGUGAAAUAGAACCUGAAACCAUUUGCUUACAAUCAUUCAGAGCCCUAUGUAGCAAUACAGGGUGAUGGACUGCCUUUUGCAUAAUGAGCCUGCGAGUUGUGGUGUCUGGCAAGGUUAAGCAAACGCGAAGCCGUAGCGAAAGCGAGUCUGAAUAGGGCGCUUAGUCAGAUGCUGCAGACCCGAAACGAAGUGAUCUAUCCAUGAGCAAGUUGAAGCUAGUGUAAGAACUAGUGGAGGACUGAACCCAUAGGCGUUGAAAAGCCCCGGGAUGACUUGUGGAUAGGGGUGAAAGGCCAAUCAAACUUCGUGAUAGCUGGUUCUCUCCGAAAUAUAUUUAGGUAUAGCGUUGUGUCGUAAUAUAAGGGGGUAGAGCACUGAAUGGGCUAGGGCAUACACCAAUGUACCAAACCCUAUCAAACUCCGAAUACCUUAUAUGUAAUCACAGCAGUCAGGCGGCGAGUGAUAAAAUCCGUCGUCAAGAGGGAAACAACCCAGACUACCAGCUAAGGUCCCUAAAUCUUACUUAAGUGGAAAACGAUGUGAAGUUACUUAAACAACCAGGAGGUUGGCUUAGAAGCAGCCAUCCUUUAAAGAAAGCGUAAUAGCUCACUGGUCUAGUGAUUUUGCGCGGAAAAUAUAACGGGGCUAAAGUAAGUACCGAAGCUGUAGACUUAGUUUACUAAGUGGUAGGAGAGCGUUCUAUUUGCGUCGAAGGUAUACCGGUAAGGAGUGCUGGAGCGAAUAGAAGUGAGCAUGCAGGCAUGAGUAGCGAUAAUUAAUGUGAGAAUCAUUAACGCCGUAAACCCAAGGUUUCCUACGCGAUGCUCGUCAUCGUAGGGUUAGUCGGGUCCUAAGUCGAGUCCGAAAGGGGUAGACGAUGGCAAAUUGGUUAAUAUU